GCUAAUGUGGCAGAUUUAAUGUGCUGGCUUUAAGCGCCAGCCAUAGGCUGUGUUGCCUUUUUAGUA
rnacentral:tRNA from 1 species